GUUCUGUUGCCAUGGAAGUGAUCCAAAUGUGUUCUUCAUGAUGGUACACUGUAGCUGAUUACAAAAGAGUUCAUCUUAUUGGAUGAAUUGUGAUGGAUUUCUCACCCAUAGCAACCUAUUUUUUUUUUGUGUACCUUAUCUACUAAGAUACAGAAGAAGCAUGAAUUAUGUUGAUGCUUAUCACUGACCCUCCUCAGCCUGUGGUGCCCAGGACUAGACACAGUCCCUCCGAUGGGUCUCAUCCUAGGAAACUGCACCCAAGAAUUUAAUUGAAUUGAACUUCAUCUUUCCAUCUGG